AGAACGAACGCUGGCGGCAUGCCUAACACAUGCAAGUCGAACGAGACCUUCGGGUCUAGUGGCGCACGGGUGCGUAACGCGUGGGAAUCUGCCCUUGGGUUCGGGAUAACAGUUGGAAACGACUGCUAAUACCGGAUGAUGACUUCGGUCCAAAGAUUUAUUGCCCAGGGAUGAGCCCGCGUAGGAUUAGCUAGUUGGUGAGGUAAUGGCUCACCAAGGCGACGAUCCGUAGCUGGUCUGAGAGGAUGAUCAGCCACACUGGAACUGAGACACGGUCCAGACUCCUACGGGAGGCAGCAGUGGGGAAUAUUGGACAAUGGGCGCAAGCCUGAUCCAGCCAUACCGCGUGGGCGAAGGAA
rnacentral:rRNA from 1 species